rnacentral:rRNA from 1 species
GAAACAGGGUGGAAGACUUUUAGUAAGGUGGAUUUAUAUGUAAGUGCUUACUAGGAUGAAGCACUGAAAAAGCUCUGAAAUAUGCACAUAUCGCCCGUCAUUCUUGUCUUUAGAUGAGACAAGUCGUAACAUAGUAGAGGUAUUGGAAAAUGUUUCUUGAAAGGCA